GAAUAAUGCCGUCACUCCAGAGUCUGAACCAGAACUGACCCUCAGUGGUGACUCCCCCUUUAUUCUAGGAGGUGUUAACAUUAGCUGUGGCAAUGUAAAAACGGUGUUUCUGGAGGCAGUGGGGGCCGACAAUGGAAAAUCCUCUGCAGCCGUCAACAUGGAGAGUGAGACAAUGCAGGUGUUGACUCACAGAACUGGACGAGAAUCUACUACUCCUUCUCCAGUGAGAGUCUCUGUCAUUUGCAUAGAAGGCUUAAAUGCAGGGAGGGCAUGGGGAUUCCGUGUAAACUUCAGUAAGGUGCAUAAACAGAGGUCGUGAUGUGUUUUGUCUCCGACCUUUUCCAGGGAGAUCUGACCCCAGGGUUGCAGCGUGAUGCUCACUAACAGAAGCUGACUCAAUUGUGUUAUGUCUCUGAUCUUUUCCAAGGACAUCUGGACCCAGGGUCGCAAUGUGAUGCUCACUAACAGAAACUGAUUCAAUUGUGUUUCCUGGUUUUGGGGAAUAUCUUUAAUUACUGCAUGAAUGUUUGUAAACUGUUGGGGCUAAAUAUGAAAGUUGCUCUUCAGGUGCCGUCUCCACCGAGCCACUGUGUACAUUUUCUUUCUCUCUCUUGCAGCUCUUCUCUUCCUACAAACUGAACGAAAAUGAAAAGGAAGUCAUUUCUGCAUGUGUCAGAGGCAUCCUUUGGUUCUAAAGGGAGCUGAGUUGGAUUCCACAAGCGUAUGGUCCUUGUAGCAUGUGAAUAGGAUUCAGUCACGGACGAGAAGGAAGGGUUCGGGGGAGACUGUCAUCGCCCUGUCCAGGCUAACACUCCAGCUGCCCAGGUGACAGGCUGGCCUGUGUUUGUGUUGUAUUUCAGAAGAGAGCCUGGUGUCACUUACAGCAGACAUUGCAGAUGCCUCAGCAUUUCGGAUGAAGACGGUAAAGACCUUCUUUGUUUCAUAAAAACCUUUAUUUUCCAGGGGAGAAAACACAGGUUGGAUCUAAACUCAAUCUUCCUAUUGAAAUAUUUUAAUGACACUGAAAGAGGUUGUUGCAUUUGGCAGGUGCAGGUGGAGCUGUGCAGCCCUGCAGUCCUGACUUCUGAGUGGAGCUAGAGGAGAAUUAUAUUAAUGUGUUUGCACUACUUGCUCAAUUGUAAAGCAUAACAAAUAUAUUUAAGGCAUGUUUUUAAAAUGAGAAUAAAAUAGUUUAACAAUGUUUACACACCUAUUUUAGUUGUUACAUUCUCUAAUCUAUUUUUAUCCUCACAACCAUGGAAGCGCUCCACCAUCUCCAUUUCAGAAAGUAGACAGUAACUGAACAACACUAUCUUCUUUUAAAAAACAUUUAUUUCAUUAUGAAAGUUUAUGGUUUAUGUAAUUAAUACCUUUUUGUGGUCUGCAUUCAAUGGGUGUGGGCAUCUGCACACUGUCGUGGGUCCACGGUUGUGAAAUCGCACACAGUGGUCUCACUGCCCUAAACAGCCAGGGCUCUCUGUCCAUCCAUCCUUUCCUCUCCCCAACCCCUGUCAACCACUGAUUGUUUUGCUAUCUAUGUAAUUUUCC
ensembl:lncRNA